UACGUAGGUGGCGAGCGUUGUCCGGAUUUACUGGGCGUAAAGAGCGCGCAGGCGGUCGUUCAAGUCGCGUGUGAAAGCCCCCGGCUCAACUGGGGAGGGUCACGCGAUACUGAUCGACUCGAAGGCAGGAGAGGGUAGUGGAAUUCCCGGUGUAGCGGUGAAAUGCGCAGAUAUCGGGAGGAACACCUAUGGCGAAGGCAGCUCGCUGGGACGUUACUGACGCUGAGACGCGAAAGCGUGGGGAGCAAACAGG
rnacentral:rRNA from 1 species